rnacentral:lncRNA from 1 species
GUACAGGGUAUGCCGGCGUGUCUCAGAGCAUUGAUAGCAUGUGCAAUGGCUGUUGAAACUGCUACUACUAUCACACUAGGGCAUCAUACAAUACUUCAUGCCAGUCACCAGGUCACUCAGCUGAUGACAAAUCUCACCACACAACACAUGACAGCCCAGCGCUUCAGUGGUUAUGAGAUUCUUUUUUUAAAUACCCAGAAUCUGUCUUUUGGAUUAAACAAGGUUUAGAGAAAGAUCAAAAUGAUCUGUUCUCUAAAGAGGGGAGAAUAGGCAUACUUGAAGCAAGCUGAUUUAUUUUCAUCAGUCAGGCACAUAGCAA